rnacentral:pre_miRNA from 1 species
AAUAAACCAAUUCAUGCGUUUUUAGAUUGAAUUUUUGACUCUUCGUCUUAUUUAAAACUUUUUGUGAUUAAUAUUUUUAUUGUUAUUACAUGAUAAAACAUGAAUAGUACUUUGCAUGUGACUAUUUUUUUUAAUUUUUUUAAAAUUUUUUAAAUAGAACAGAUGGUCAAACGUAGACAAAACUCAGG